UACGGAGGGUGCAAGCGUUAUCCGGAUUCACUGGGUUUAAAGGGUGCGUAGGUGGGUAAGUAAGUCAGUGGUGAAAUCUCCGGGCUUAACCCGGAAACUGCCAUUGAUACUAUUUGUCUUGAAUACUGUGGAGGUCAGCGGAAUAUGUCAUGUAGCGGUGAAAUGCUUAGAUAUGACAUAGAACACCAAUUGCGAAGGCAGCUGGCUACACAAAUAUUGACACUGGAGGCACGAAAGCGUGGGGAUCAAACAGGA
rnacentral:rRNA from 1 species